GCCGGAGUGGUGGAACAGGCAGACACGCACGGUUUAGGUCCGUGUGCCUUCGGGCGUGCGGGUUCGACUCCCGCCUUCGGCACCA
rnacentral:tRNA from 1 species